rnacentral:rRNA from 1 species
AACGUAGGAGACAAACGUUAUCCGGAGUUACUGGGCGUAAAGGGCGUGUAGGUGGUUCUGUAAGUCUGGCGUGAAAUUUCUCGGCUUAACCGAGGAACGUCGAUCGAUACUGCUGUUCUUGAGGAUUGCAGAGGAGACUGGAAUUCCCGGUGUAGCGGUGAAAUGCGCAGAUAUCCGGAGGAACACCAGUGGCGAAGGCGGCUCACUGGCCCAUAACUGACGCUGAGGCACGAAAGCGUGGGGAGCAAACAGG